AUUGAACGCUGGCGGCAUGCCUUACACAUGCAAGUCGAACGGUAACGCGGGGCAACCUGGCGACGAGUGGCGAACGGGUGAGUAACGCAUCGGAACGUGCCCAGUAGUGGGGGAUAGCCCGGCGAAAGCCGGAUUAAUACCGCAUACGACCUACGGGUGAAAGCGGGGGACCGCAAGGCCUCGCGCUAUUGGAGCGGCCGAUGUCAGAUUAGGUUGUUGGUGGGGUAAAGGCUCACCAAGCCGACGAUCUGUAGCUGGUCUGAGAGGACGACCGGCCACACUGGGACUGAGACACGGGCCAGACUCCUACGGGAGGCAGCAGUGGGGAAUUUUGGACAAUGGGGGCAACCCUGAUCCAGCCAUGCCGCGUGCGGGAAGAAGGCCUUCGGGUUGUAAACCGCUUUAGUCAGGGAAGAAAUUGUCCGGGCUAAUACCCCGGGCUGAUGACGGUACCUGAAGAAUAAGCACCGGCUAACUACGUGCCAGCAGCCGCGGUAAUAC
rnacentral:rRNA from 1 species